ACAACGGGGGUGCGAGGGCUGUCGCUGACCUUUCAAAAGGUCGUGCACGCCCGAGCGCUCUCACACAUCCAUCUCACCCCUUUGUGCAUCACCGCGUGGGUCCCCCUUUGCAGGAGGGCUCACGUUUUCACACAAAACUUGAUACAGUGUAGAAUGUUAUUUUUGCGGUCACACGCAAUCAAUACAACUUUCAACAACGGAUCUCUUGGCUCUCGCAUCGAUGAAGAACGCAGCGAAAUGCGAUACGUAAUGUGAAUUGCAGAAUUCAGUGAAUCAUCGAAUCUUUGAACGCACCUUGCGCCCCUUGGCAUUCCGAGGGGCACACCCGUUUGAGUGUCGUGAAAUCAUCAAAAACCCUUUUCUGUUUACCGAAAAGGAUUUUUGGACUUGGAGGUUUAAUGCUUGCCUUUCACUUUUGAAAGCGAGCUCCUCUCNNUGAAUUAGUGNGGUCCGCUUUGCUGGUCCUUGACGUGAUAAGAUGUUUCUACGUUUUGGAUUUAGCACUGUCCCUUUGGAUUCCUGCUCCUAACUGUCCAACGGACAAACGAUGGUGCUCCGGUCGCCGCCGUCUACAUUGGCGGGGGAGGGCUGGACCCACGAAAGAAAACCUUGA
rnacentral:rRNA from 1 species